ACUUUGCGCAAUGGAGGGAACUCUGACGCAGCGACGCAGCGUGAGCGAUGAAGGUCUUCGGAUCGUAAAGCUCUGUCCUUUGGGAAGAAGAUCUUCGGAUUUGACGGUACCCAAGGAGGAAGCACCGGCUAACUACGUGCCAGCAGCCCCGGUAACACGUAGGGGGCAAGCGUUGUCCGGAAUUAUUGGGCGUAAAGGGUGCGUAGGCGAACUUUUAAGUCAGAUGUGGAAGGCCACGGCUUAACCGUGGGGUUGCAUUUGAAACUGGAGGGCUUGAGUAUCGGAGAGGGUAGUGGGAUUCGCAGUGUAGCGGUGGAAUGCGUAGAUAUUGGGAGGAACACCAGUGGCGAAGGCGACUACCUGGACGAAAACUGACGCUGAUGCACGAAAGCUAGGGGAGCAAACA
rnacentral:rRNA from 1 species